UUGCACGAAGAUCGGGCCUUGCACGAGUAUCAGGCCUUGCACGAGUAUCGGGCCUUGCACGAGGACAAUCCUUGCACAAGGAUUUGCUCACUUGAAGUGGAAUUUGCACGAGUAUCGGGCCUUGCACGAGGAUUGGGCCUUGCACGAGGAUUUGGGCCUUGCACGAGGAUUUGGGCCUUGUACAAGGAUCAGGCCUUGCACGAGAAUUUGCUCACUUGAACGUGGAAUUUGCACAAGGAUCAGGCCUUGCACGAGGAUUUGGGCCUUGCACAAAGAUUGGGCCUUGCACGAUGAUCGGGCCUAUCAUGAGGACAAUCCUUGCACGAGGAUUUGCUCACUUGAACGUAGAGUUUACACGAGGAUUUGGGCCUUGCACAAGGAUCAGGCCUUGCACGAGGAUUUGCUCACUUGAAGGGGAAUUUGCACGAGGACAAUCCUUGCACGAGGAUUUGGGCCUGGCACGAGGCCGGUGCUCACACCUGGGCACGCUCCCCGCUCGUGCCAGGCCAGCCCCGGGACUGAGCGUGAGUGUGAGCGUGAGUGUGAGCGUGAGUGUGAGUGUGAGCAGGGCUGGGGGCUCACACGGGGCUGUGCACGCUCGUGUGAGGCACGGGGAGGGGUCGGGGGCGUGCAAGGGGGGUUUGCACAAGGAUCGCCCCCAGCGCCGCGCGGGGCCGGCGUGCAAGGGCUGGGCUUUGCACGGGGACGGGCCUUGCACACUCGUGAGGGCACGGGGAUGCUCUUGCACACUCAUUAUUGCACAAGGAUGUUCUUGCACACUCGUGAGGACAUGGGGAUGUUCUUGCACACUCGUGAGGGCACAGGGACAGGCCUUGCACA
rnacentral:lncRNA from 1 species